GCGGGCGGGGCGGUUGGGUCCAGGCUGGGCGGGGCAGAUCCAGGUUUGGGACAGGAGUUACUUUGGUUCUGUGGUAAAGAAAGGCGUUGAACUCUCGCUGAGGAGCAUGAAACUACUAUGAUGGGUUAAAAACAAUUGUGUGCCAGCCCCAGGAUAUUAAUUAGACCAUCUGUCUAACUCUCAGAACACAAGGCUCAGUACCUGGAGAAACCUUUUACCCAUCUCUUUUGGGAAUGACGACAUGUCUUCACCGGAAAAUGCUACAGCAGAGUCUGGAGAAGAUCAGAAAGGAAAGGACUCUGAUAUGAAAAACUUGAAUAUAUCUUUGCCUGUAUCAUCUCAUGAUGACCUUCCCUCAUCAAGUCAUGAUGACCUGCAUUCAUCAAGUUAUGAAGACCUGCAUUAUUCAUCAGGUCAUGAGGACCUGCAUUCAUCAAGUCAGGAAACACCUAGACUAGUGAAUUA